rnacentral:rRNA from 1 species
CACGGAGUUAGCCGAUCCUUAUUCUUACCGUACGUUCAGCUUCUCUCGCAAGAGAAGGUUUAUUCCGGUACAAAAGCAGUUUACAACCCAUAGGGCCGUCUUCCUGCACGCGGCAUGGCUGGUUCAGGCUUGCGCCCAUUGACCAAUAUUCCUUACUGCUGCCUCCCGUAGGAGUCUGGUCCGUGUCUCAGUACCAGUGUGGGGGGUCAUCCUCUCAGAUCCCCUAGACAUCGUGGUCUUGGUGAGCCGUUACCUCACCAACUAACUAAUGUCACGCAUGCUCAUCUUAAUCCUAUAAAUAUUUGAUUGAAUUGUGAUGCCACAUCUCAAUGUUAUGCGGUGUUAAUCCGGAUUUCUCCGGGCUAUCCCCCUGAUUAAGGUAGAUUGCAUACGCGUUACGCACCCGUGCGCCGGUCUCUGGGUUGCAAGCAACCCAUACCCCUCGACUUGCAUGUAUUAGGCCUGCCGCUAGCGUUCAUCCGUCGACGCGAGA